rnacentral:rRNA from 2 species
UACAGAGGGUGCGAGCGUUAAUCGGAAUUACUGGGCGUAAAGCGCGCGUAGACGGUUUUGUAAGUCAGAUGUGAAAUCCCUGGGCUCAACCUGGGAACUGCAUUUGAGACUGCAUGGCUAGAGUAUCGAAGAGGGAAGUGGAAUUUCCGGUGUAGCGGUGAAAUGCGUAGAUAUCGGAAGGAACACCAGUGGCGAAAGCGACUUCCUGGUCGAAUACUGACGUUCAUGUGCGAAAGCGUGGGGAGCAAACAGG